rnacentral:rRNA from 1 species
UACGUAGGGCGCGAGCGUUGUCCGGAUUCAUUGGGCGUAAAGGGCGCGUAGGCGGCGGGGUAAGUCGGGUGUGAAAUCUCAGAGCUCAACUCUGAAACUGCACUCGAUACUGCUCUGCUUGAGGACUGGAGAGGAGACUGGAAUUCACGGUGUAGCAGUGAAAUGCGUAGAUAUCGUGAGGAAGACCAGUGGCGAAGGCGGGUCUCUGGACAGUUCCUGACGCUGAGGCGCGAAGGCCAGGGGAGCAAACGGG